rnacentral:rRNA from 1 species
GCGCAGCACGAGAAUAUUCGGCAAUGGGCGAAAGCCUGACCGAGCGACGCCGCGUGCGGGAUGAAGGCCUUCGGGUUGUAAACCGCUUUUCUAAGGGAAAAAAUUGUGUCUCACUGUUGUUUGGAGAAAAAAAUAUAAGAAUAAGAUGGAUGGCCGUAGAGUUCCGUGACUUCCGCAGGUUUUCAUAAAAAUACCAAAUUACAGUGAGGCACAAA